AAUUGAAGAAAAUUGCCCAAAUUAAAGUAACUGAAAACAAACGAAAAAAUAAAUGUAACAUCCGUGUCGUUUAAAAAGCGAACAUGAAUUUAAAGCGGCGAAAAUACUUCUUUAUAGUGUAAUUACUUCAAACUUCUGUUUCGUCUACAAACGCUGUAAUUACAUAUGUACAUACAUAGCACCAAAGUCCUGCAACAAAAAUAAUUCUUCGCACAGAUUGAACCGUGGAAACCUCAAUCGCCUUUCCAUAGUUCCACAUUAAUACUAAUUGAAAUUUAUUUUUACGACGCAAAAACGGCGCUCGAGAUGAUUUAGUCCACUAUGUACGGCAAAGUCUCCCCCUUAAGUACUAUUUACGUAGGCAGCAGCACUGAAAUCGGAAUGGCUUCCGGUCCGCGAUAGUCCAGACGAUUUUUCGAGGCGCGGCAAAGUGCCCCGUGUAUAGUUUGCGCGUCUUGCUUGCGUACCGUUGGCAACGAAUUCUAAUUAGUCAGCACGUCGUCGCCGGCAUUAUCAACCCCUCGCGAAUUGUUGCCUGUUGGUCCCCGAUAACGCGCGGUGGUCUCCCCUAGCGUGAGGACCAAAGCUGCGCAAGGAACUAAGCGGAAUUUCGACUUAGGACGCGAACGAUGGGUAAACCGCGAUUCAAGUCGCAGAAUAUAGUUUAUCCCGCCAUAACGGGUAAAGAAAUUAGCCCCCAAGGUUUUGCCCGAGACAGUAAAUACGUGACUAUUAAAGUGGCUAUUAAUCUUUUUGUUAACGCUUUAUUCUUCAAAGUUUAUCCUGGGAUUGUUAAAUAAUUUCGUAAUGCUUUUGUAUAUUUUAUCGAAACCUAAGUAAAUGUUGAACGUAACAGAAGCGACGAGUAAUACGCUAAUUACGAGUAACACUAUUAAUUAGCCAGUAAAACAACAAAUGCAGAUGUUGAUAAGGCGAUCUUCCUGAUAUCGCAGUAAUACGAUCUAAAUUCGUCGAUGGUGAAGUUUCCAUUAAUUCUCCAUAAUUACAAAUAAGCUUAAUGCCGGACCAGGUAAGAGCAUACGAGACGGAGCGACGGUUUGCGUUAUAAUUUAGUCCGAUUAUACACGUGCUACAGCCGUAAGCAAACAUCUCGCGCGAAGUACCGAAUCGGAGUACGCUGAUUGUGCCGGUCCCCUUAAUGUGCGAUGUAUCAUCGAUGUCCUGCGUACGAUGUAACACCGGAAUCGAAUACUGUAAUAGCGUGACACACAUCGUUGCAUUAAUUAUGCUAUUAAUUAACGGCAUUAAAUCAACAAACGGGCGCGCAGCAACUGGAUUACGGAAGCGCACACCGUGUAAUGCCGAUUCAAUAAAACUCCACCGUUUUAUUGCGGAACGCACGUUUAUGAUGUCGCGUCUUUCUCUCCGCGUGCGAUCGAGACGGUUUGUCACCAGUAUCGCAUCGUUUUACGCGACAGCGCGAAAUUUUCAUGACAAAGCUAACGUCGUUGAGCGCGCGCGAUCUUUCAUCUUUCUGCCGCUCCCUCAGCGUAUUACGCCCACCCACAAACGAUAAUGCACGUGUGACAUGUAGAACGUGUUUUGCCCGGGCUCGCACACCGGCAUCUACUUGCAGGCACUUGAGAGUCGUACACAUAUAUGUAUGCACUCGUGCGCGCGCGCACACCCAUCGACGGAUACCACAUCGGAAUUGGCACUCGACGAUGCCGCGUAUAUGACAUCCUCGUCGAUCGGGCUAGAUAUGUAUGUGUGUGCCGCACCGAGGGUGAUUGCGAUUGUGUACGUGCGCCCCUGGGAGGAGGGUGGAUAAGCGAGAGGUAGGAUGAUGCAGCAACUACAGGUAAAUGUAAUUAGGGAUUGAUCGAAUGGUAAGCGCGCGGGGCUGUCUAAUUGCCCGAGCCGAUAGCUCUCUUCCGGCGGAUGCUCGGCCGACGAGAAAGCUCCGAGCUACCAGGACUACGAUUGGCGGAACAGCGAUUGGACUCGGCGACGGCGACGAACCUCGUAAGACGGGAUUAUGAUCCCCUGGCCGGAUUGAUCGCGCGCUCGCCGUUCCUUCUCGCAGCGUGUCGUGAUUCUGGGAGGCUGAUCAUCGCGAAGAGCUGAAAAAUCGUUGAUCGUCGAGACGAAGAGCGAAUGCGAAAGUCUCGCGCUCACGUCUCAAUUUCUGAGCUCUGUGACCCGCAAUCGAAGAUGCGGCGUGAUAAUCGACGAAGUUCAAGAUCGAGACGCGAUUUUCUCGGGGCACGUACAUUAACGAGGAGACGCUGGCGAACCGUGACGCAUGAAAUUUCCAUUUAAGCCGCGAACAUCGAAGUUGCAAGAUGAACCAUCGUGAGCGACUGUCGAUAGAUAGAUAGAGACGGGGACAGAGACAAAGCGGAGGAGGUGCACGAGGGACAGAGGGACAAGGCUUGCAUGAAGGGAGUGCCGGGGAAGCAAACUAUUGUUGCCAAUAUCUCGGACAGUUCAAUUACUUGGUUAUUACGCGCCGCCAAACUGACAGGGUUGCUUACAUGCUUCGCCAAGCGGCUAAUGCAUACAUGCAUGUACACAAACUGCACUUAUGAUGACAUUUCUCGUGAUCCCCCUUUCCCGUCGCAAAGCGACGGCAAACACUCCAGUCUCUGCAUCAUCGAGCAUUAAUCUUCCGUAAUCGAUGGCGCAUCUGUAGUGCGAGAGUCGCUUUAUACGUCACCAUCUGUUUGAGGACUAAUCGCUUAAUCCCGCGCCAAGACUAUUAUUCGUUAAUUAAAUUAACAAGUUUAAUUGCUAGAACUAUAUGGCUGCGAUACAAUGAGAGACCAAGUGCAAUUUUGAUGUUCCGACUUGAAGCUCUUCCUCUCUUGUGGAAGCCGUAAAAAUUAUCUACUUUAGUAGCAAACAUUUUCUCUGUGAAAAUAAACUCUGUGCCUUCUUCUUCUUCCUUUAUUAAUCAAAAUUAGGUUUAUUUCCGAGCAGGUUUAUUUCAGUUAAACGAGAAUUUAAUUCUACGCGGAUUUGAAUAUGUUCGAACAAUCUUUUCCCUUUUUGGUUCGGUUAAACUCGCAAUAGAAGAAAAUCAUUAUUCUAAAAGAUGGCAUGUGAGCUGCAUUUCAUUUAAAAAGUAAGAAUGAGACGAUAGAUCUUCUCUCGUGAAAUGCUUAUCACAUUAACGAAAAGUUAGUGCCAAAAGAUUUCAUAUAGCCUGAAUAUUUUAUUUUCUUUUUUAUUUUAGUAGGCCUCGAACCAAGACCGAAACUACGUUUUGCACUUUGUUUUCAUUUAAUGAAACCGACGCAUCGGCCGCGACGUAUAACAAUUGAUAUUUCGGUUAACCGUACGACUGAUGCACGUUGAUUGGAACAAACCUUUUUUUCCUCGCCAUUCGGCAAUAAGCGCAACAGUAAAAUGAUUUCAAUUUCACGCGGCCAAAACGAGCAAUAUGCAAGAGAAAAAGAGAGAGAAAUUCAUUCCGUCAAGCGUAAAAAUAAAAUUCAGAAUUAUUAAUGCCGCGACAUAUUGUAAAAUAUGUAUCCUACUCCGCUUUUAUUUUUUGUCAGCGUACGCGCGCGUACAUGUAUUAUUAUAUCAUAAUAAAAAGGGAUAUAUACCGUUGGUACAUGAUACAGAGAACGUUAUCAUGUAUUUAAUGAUGAGUCAGGAAUUGUUGACGUAUAAUAAUACAUUUUCCGCGCUGAAUUGUUUGUAGAAUAUAACGCAAUAUCAAAACUCAUAAAGCAUGUUCUUCAUGUGGCAUUAUGCGACUUUAAACACAACACACCAAUCAGUAACAUCGACACAACCAUACUCUGACUCUCAACACAAAGAUAAAGUGCUACAAAUAACGGAUCGUUUGGAAACACGAUUUUAUAAAUUGCGAAAACAAGAUAAAAGACGCCCGCGAGACGAAUAACUUUGAUCGAAACACAGAAUUCGAUUUGUCAACUUUCCAGUUGUGAAAAUGGAUUGCACAACCAUUCUCGUUCGGUUCAUGGGCCUGGCCUCGACGACCACGUCGAGAAUUCACGACGCUAAUGAGUCGAACGAGAAACUUUUUCGUUGGCGAUGCAAAUGAGGCGCGCGCGGCUACAACGCGGCUACGACCGAUGCACUUGCACUUGUCGGUGCCGCGAGAAUUAAUGGAAAAACGCUUCGAGAGCUCCGCAGCUCGCGAUAAUUGAUCCUAGUUUCCCGACUUAAUUGGCAUAGUUUUAGAUAAAUAUCUAGAAGGGCUUCCCGGUAGGUGAUCCGUAAGAAAUGGUUUGACUGAUAGCUAAAGUAUCUCAAGAAUAUUACGUUGAAACGUCAGAAUGAGAGAUGAAAAUUUCAACGAUGAAAUUAUUAUAGAACGAAGACGACAUGAAAUAAAUGAGGACUUAUAAUUUCCUAUGCAUAAUGUACGAAUAUUUCUUGCGUAUAAACAUGUUUAUAGAAAAUAAAUUGUUUAAUUUACGUGAUUUAAUACUGAAUGUAAUUUCAUAAUUUACAAAUAAUUAAAACCUUCAAAGUUUAUUUCUGCAUCAUAUUAUAAUCCCUUGCGCUUUCCCCAUUGAUUACACACGUUUCAUAAACAAUUAAUUGACGCGAUAACGGUGUAUAAAAUUAAAUGAAAGUAAUUAAUGAAAUUUAAUUGCAGGGGGAGUGGAAGAAUGGAUGAAGCACAAUACCUCAUUCAGCUUUGCCUAUUUAAUUUAACAUCGUCACACAAAAAAUCCUCACGUUUGCUCGCUUUAUUAAAUGGACUUGUAGUUCUGUGUUAUAAUAUAAUUGCACACCGUUAUGCAAAUGCACAGAGUAAAAAUAUGAAUCACGCAACGCACAUCGCGUUCCGCUUAACAAACGUUACAUUACCAAACAUAAUCUUCGUGUAUUCAUUUUAUACGCACUCUUCUGACGAGCGUAGAUUCCCAAGUGUACAAUCGCAAAUAAGAGACUUAGCGGAUUCCACGUUGAUAUUAAUUAUGAAAAUACACGUGACUUAAAUUAUGGCUUUUACAUUUUACAUGAAAGGAAUCAAUGCUAUUUCUAUCAAUGCCGUUGUAGGGAAAAUUAGCACCACAUGCUACAAUUUAUGGAAUAGCAACGCAAAUCUUACAGAAAGGGUUAAACGUGAUGUUAAUCGUAAAUAUUAGUCAUCAAACGCUAUUAAUGACAAAUAUUGAUUAUUUAAGCAGCGAAUUUCGGUUUAAUUUGUCAACUUGUACUAUCGCAGCACAUACAUGUUUAAGUUGAUUAUUAAGGAACAGCAAACAACACGCGUUACGGCUUCCCUUUGCCUCGAUAUUCCACACUGCGUAAUUUUGAUUGAUCGAUGAUUUGUGGAAAAUGCACACGUAACAAAAUAAUCGCGAUCAUUUCAACGGCAAACCAUUAUUUUACAAAAUUACAAAUAAAAACUCGUGAUUACCGUGGUCCAAACUCCCAACUUUUGUCAGCUGCCGGCUCUUCCAUAAACCAUAACGCGAUUUAAGCGUCAUCGAAGAUUAGUGGUAUUGUAAAAUAACGUAUUGUGCAGAUUGUCUCGAAUAAGCAGAUAAUGAAUGGCGUUGGAGCGCAGAGAUAGCGAUAAAUAAUUCGUCCUGAUAUCCUAGUGUCCGAGCUAAAUCGCGAAGUAAUCGUAAAAAGAGCUGCAACGUAAAGUGUUCGCGGCAGACGCAAGGGCGCGGGACUUUAUUUAUCGGAUGGGAACUGAUAAAAUCGGCAAAGCCACCGCCGCCGCCGCCGCCGCGCGCAUCUAUCGGGUUAAAAGUUUAAUACCAACGCCGCGCAGAAUUUCACCUCGUCGGAGAGCGCGAUAGACCGAAGUUCGAUAUUAACUUUUUCUCCUUUUUUUUCUCUGCUCUUUUUUGGACGGAGAGCAGCGGGAGUAGGAAGGAAAGUGGGAGAGGAGAAGGAGUGAAGGAGAACUCGAUGGUGUUUUUUACGAGCUGCUCAUCCCAUUUCCCGAGAGCCGUUGGCCGUAUAUCGGCUACAUUUUCGCUCAUUAAAAAGUUCCCGCUCGUGCCCGUGCAAGUGCCUCCCUCCUCCUCCUCCUCCUCCUUCUCAUCCUUCUCGUCUUCGCAGGGCGCAGCGGCGGAUCGCCCUGCCCCUCCCCAGACGGGAUUUUCAUUAUUAAAAAGUAUUACAGCUGGCCAGAGGGAUGAAAGGGAGAAGUGGAGGGAGGGGGUUGGAAAAGAGGUAGCCGAACGAGCGAAUAAAUGGGGGAUUACUUCGGGCAGCGAGGUGGCGGAGCUAAUUUCAAAAACCUAGGCGGAGUAAUCGCCGGGAUCUUGAAGGUUUCCCGGAUGAACUCGGCGACGACGGUGAACAUCCCAUUUCCCGCCCUGUAUUUUCGCACGAUUAGCGUGUCUGUCGCAUAGCGCGCAAACGAAUGGCGAGUCACGCGCGAUCAUCAUACGUGUAAUCGCAAUAUCGCUCCUUCUCCCAUCCAGUUAAAACUAAAACAAAUCACUGUAAGUCUCACGCAACUGGUUUGAAAAGAAUAAAUUGACGAAACUAUUCUAAAUUCUCUCUCUACAAGCAACAAGUUUCGCAGUUGGCGAACGUAGCGCAAUCAGCGACGCGACACGACUCGAUGACGAUGUGGCACGCACGACGUGAUGACAUCGGCGAGGUAUUCUAUUUGAUUCUCAUGCACAAAUGUUUGCAGUCCCAUUAGAACCGGGAUUGUCAAGGACGAGAACACAUGAACACGCGGAACGACCACUGGCUCGCAAAAUACACGAGUACCAUCACGUCGACCAGAUUGCCAAGUAAAUACAAUUAUUAUUAUUAUAGCGCCCAAAACUUUGGAAGUUGCCCGAAAUCCCCCAAACACGUCGAGGGCUCCUCAUUAACCCUCUAACUAACCCUACGGCAUUACGUCAGCCCAUAUCUUAUCCUCGCCACACAAUUCUCGGGCAAAUUUCGAAGAAAGUAUCAUGAUUAUUGUUUGAAUAAAGGAAAAAAUGAGGAAAGGAUUGAAUCAAGAGAUAAAAUAUCUAUUAAUUAAAAGUUUGAGAUUUGAAGUGAUUUUAUAAAAACUGAAAUUGUAAUAAAUGUAUCUAUAAUACGCAUGUAGUUAUCAUCGAUUCCUGAUUAUAUAACAUAUUACAUUCAGAGAAUACGACCCUUGUGAAAUGUGUGUAGGAUAGUACAUCACCCUUGAGAGAUAAUAACGAGAAAUUUGUUUACUGCGACUUUGAUAGUUAGUCGGAAGUUCGUAGGAAAGGAGGAAAAAUGUAUACAACGUUAAUGUUUCAUGACUUCUAGACAUCGCACAUGCGCGAUAUAUAUUUAACGUUUCCGUUGAACUUGAUUACCUAGUUACGACAGGAAAACACACGAAGUUUAGUUAAUUUCGACGCGCACAUACGCGACCACCGCGCUUUUUAAAGCGUGCUCGUAUUAAUUAAAACUUUAGAUUGCCUACUGAAUACGUUAAUGUCAUGUUUUUCACAGAAAAGUACGAUAAACAGAGUAAAAUUAUCGCUAAAAUAUAGCGCUAACAGUUUUGUUUUCAUCUUAAAUUAAAUCGAGAAAUAAGGAUAGAAAUUUAAUUUCAGCUUUUGUCAAUUAAGCUUCGAAGGCAUAAACAGACAGAAGAAGUAGAAAUUUAAUUUAAGCUUUUGCCAAUUAAGUCUCGAAGGCAUAAACAGACAGAAAGAUCUUGCGUUCCCGUUAAUUUUAUCGCUUGCUAUAAUAGAAAUUUAAUUUAAACUUUAAUUAUCGGGGAAUAUCGCUAACGUUAAAAAUUAAAAUGCACGUGUAUGCUCAGCGCAUAAUCGAGUUUUUCAUAGGAAAAAAGAGAUUCUAGGUUUACUGUGAAAUUCGGGGCAAGCAUUAAUAUAAUCGAGAUCACAUAAUUUACGAAUCAAAUGUACAGACGAAGGAAUAGUAGAGAGAUUAAUAUUGCGAUGGAUGCAGAAAAGCCACCCAGGACAUUUAUCUUUCCGCGAAACAAACAGAAUUAAAAGCGGUUCGGUGUGCUUGCGUUAAACGUGAUUAAAUAUCAAAGCUGUCUGUUCCCGUGACCCACCUCCUAAUAUCCUCCGCGUCCGGCCUUAUUAUACGGCAGUUAAUUACGGCGAUGAGAGGGUCAAGUGCGGAUAAUACAUUGUUCUCUUCUCGCAAAAGGCCAGCCCGUGCUGAAAUUAACUAAAGAAACGGAAUGGCCAACGUGCUUCGCUACACGCGAAUUAUCAGGUCGGGCUUCCUUCUCAGGCAUUUUAAGUGAUAAUAUGCAUGGUUAUGAAAGGAAAAUCUACUGCUGCGAGAUGACAAACAACUCUUGUUAUUUUUAAUCUUCACGAGAAUGUUAGAUGGCAAUAAUUCUCGAAAUAUUUUUCCUAUAAACGGUUACAUGCGCAUAAUUGCGCUAUCUCGCAGACUAACACUGAACACGUGUGUAUUUAAUUGCCAAUAUCAAAUAAUUGCGAUAUUGCAUAGAAUAACUUGAGGAAAAUUGAGAAGGCAAGGAAGUAGCAUUACCAAAUUGCUGCUGAAUAUUUCAUUUCCUUGGCUGCUGUGUACGAGUGCAGAGAAGUUUGAGCGAUGAGAAGCACUACUCAUACUUGGCUUCAAAAUCACCAUCUAAUUUUGUGUUUCGAUUUGCACUCUCUAUUUAAGCACCGAACAGCAUGAUGAGCAGCUAAUUUAUUAAUAUUGAACUUUCUCACAGUAUUUAAAUAAGUUUCCAGAAAGAUUAAGGUCCUAAUACACGGGCAACUCUAAUUUGUAAAUGACAAUCGCAAUCAGAAUCGAAGAAUACUUCCUUCCUUGGUUAAUCCUUUUACCUCUCACUUAUUUGUAAUAUUGAUUAUUCUUUUCUAUGUACCUUAUCCAAGAAUAUUGCGAAUAAGAAAGAAAUGGGGGACAAGAGAUCUCUUUAAUAAUUCCAUUUAUUAUCGUCGUCGCAUCGCGACGCCUGCGGCUGCCCCGCCCCCCUUCCUUUGUUCCCUUACUUUUAAUUCAGAUAAAUUAUUAUAUAAAACAAUGUUAUCGUUUCAUUCAAUGUUAAAUUUCCAGGAAAGUGCCCAAGAAAAUCGCGAUAUGCCACGAAGUUUUUACACACCCCAGGCGUGUAACAGAAAAAUUUCAAACAAAUGCAUUUAACGAUAAUUGCAUUCGAAAGUUCUAUGCGAAGAGCAAACGUCGGCUCAAAAUUGUACAGAGAACAAUGAUUCAGAACUGUGUGCAUACGCAAUUGUUUAAUAAUAAGUGACACGAAAUUUACCUUUCUUAAUUACAAUAUCUUUGUUAAGUUGAAUGAAAUAACGUCCAUGUUGGCAAGUAACAAAGGAAGAAAAAUCACAGGCUUAUUUUUAAGUUCGUUGAGAAAAUCCCUAAAAGGACAUGCAUCAAUGAGAGCUUUUUUCAGGUUGAAAAAGUUGAGCGAGUACUUUUCCUCAGUUUAGCGGAACGUUAUUAAUUGAAGCUUAGGCUUCGAUUUUCAACGAAUGGUGCAACAACUUCCAAUGGCGAGGACAAUUAUUAUUCGUUAUCCCGCCGUUAAUCCGACCACCAAACCGGCCCGAAUUUACGGUCGCGACCAAACGAGUAUUUGCGCGAGAAUAUCUCGAAGGGGCUUAAGCGGCUUUCAAAACGUAUAGUGAUGUGUUAUACAUGUCUUUUCAUAGCUUGUUUAUAGUCGCAGCCAGUAGCGACAAUUUUUCGGUUAAAAAAAUCCUUCCUAGUAUCUAAUAGUAAAAAUACGAUGUUAAAAUUGUAAAAUGGCAUGUAUUUGACGAGUUCAGUGAUGUUCAAUAUUUAACGUAGAGUCUAAAGGUAGAUUCCUCAAGUUUCUCAAAUCAGCUGUUAUACAGUUGUUAUAUACAAUCUAGAAAUGUCUGUGUGCAUUUAUAUACAUAUAUUUACGGAAUGUAGCGAGACUCGCUUGUUAUAACCGCACUGAUUUAUUAAUAAUAAUGUGCGCGUCCCGGUGUGUUGUCGUCUCGGAUAGAGGAAACGUGUCUUUAGAAUCUUUACGUGUCUGGCGAACUUGUGACAUUUCACAGAACCACAAGACAAGAAACUUCGACAACAGAAAUCGGUAAUUAGAAACCGGCGCCGCUUACAGCCGGAAAACGGAAAAUGUCAGAUAUACAAUAAUCCGCGGUGCAAUUAUCGAAGUUUGCCAGGUCGCCGGGCUACGACGAUUUUCCGUAGGACUGCGAGAGAACGCGCGAGCGAGAGAAAGAGAAACAGAGAAAGAUCUUGAAGAGAGAAGUUAGAAGCGACAGCGAUUAAGUCCGGCGAUGCGGAGCGAAUCGGAGGAAGAAUACAGCGGUGCGGCGCGAACCGCUUGGCAGUAGUAGAAACUUUUAAUGGCGCAACGCGGGGAAACGCGCAGAGUUCAACAUGAAAUAUGUAAGAGCGUAAGAAUCUAUCGGACACAAAGCGGCACAUAAUCGCCGGGGCCGUGGCCCAUGCAUUGUUCCGCGCACAAUGCCGCACCGCACACGGAACGACGUAACACUGACGAAAGUCGGGCGACGACGCGCCCGGCGCGGUUGGUCUUAUGAAUUUUUCACAUCGUCCGCCCGCGACAAAACCGCCACGAAUAUUGGAUUCGCCGUGAAAGUAGCAAAUGUCAUCAAGAUAAGUUGUUUUUGGGUGUUCGGUUAUAUUUGACGACAUCGCGCGUCAGAUCGCUCGAGAACGCGAGACAGAAACGCGAGCUCAACGUCGAAGUUCUUGGAGUCGAAUGUUUCUCGUAGAUGCACGUGAAAAAAGAUCUCAUCAGAAGAUCCAGCGAAUCCCGCUGCAGCUUCACCUUGAAAAAUCGACGAGUUUGCAUCCCAAAUUGAAUUCAUCAGUCGGUUAACUGCACGUAUCAUAGACUUCCCGCUCCGCGGAUAAAACUGAUACAGUGAUCCGAUUUACAAUGAUUUAUACCAUUCCACAUAAAAAAUCCGCGCGUUUCGUGUCAAUCUUCUGUAAUAUACUACCGUAAUAUAACUUCUGUAAUAUAUAUACAUAUAUACAUUUAUAUCUAUACUGUAAUAUAACUUCGAUCGAGAAUAAGCAAAAUUUCCUCGACGCGCACAAGAGAGUAGCCGCGUGCAAGAGCGUAGCCGCGCGUGCGUGUCGACAGAAAAAAUUAGCAUUUUAAUCGUUUAUCCCAUCUCGCCUCGGUCCAGCGGCUGCGUCCGUGUCUCACGUCGACACGUUUGUGUCAGUGAGACAGUGUCUCCGAGGCACGUUGACGAAGUCGAUACUACACAGUUUUUCCCGUUUGCGUGAAACUAACGAGGCUACCACGCUCGUUUGCAUACUCAUCGUUCCGUUUUUAAUACGGCCGUUGUCGGGCAGCCGCGCGACAGAUAAUUACGUUGCUGUACAUCGCGUUACGACCGACCAACGUCGAGUUAACCGAAACUACACUUCUCGAGUGUCGACGAGUCGGGAACGUUUUUCAUUAAUCUGACAGAACGGUGGAACGUGGCUGAUUGGCUCGCCACGGGAUUCGUAAUUUCGUAAUUCAUCAUGAUUCUAAUGAGAAAAUUACCGUCCACGUGCAGUCCGAAAACAAGCGUCAAACAAACGCGAGCCCACGAAGAUUUAUUCAUUAAAUCUAUUAUAGCGCCAGAGGCAGAAAAAAAGAGAGGAGGAAGAAAGAGAAAAAUACGGCAGGCGAUAACAAACUGCGAUAUUGGCAAAAAUAUUUAAUAUCCAAUAUUUUUCCACUUCACCAUUACAAGGAUAAGAACUCCAAUUCAACGAGAGGCUCCAUUUACAACAAAUGAUGCAGGCACUCUAAAUCGGAUACUGGUACAGUUUUACAGAGUAAAGAGCAGACGGAAUCGUACGUAAUUUACAACCAUCCCCUUUUUCACGCGUAGCGUAUCGAAAUACACUCGAUAUCAAAGAGAUUUAAAUAUUUUACGCUGCCGUCAUGAUACUGACAUUUAUUGAACCAAAUAUUAAACCAUUUCAAUUUCGCUUUUGAAAUGUAUGCUUUAUACUAAAGAGGAAAUUCAAAUUACCACGCAUUUUUAAUAAAAACCUUAUAGUCUAUACGGUUAUCACGUACUGUUAUGAUUAUCGAUCCAAUCUUGCAAAUUCAUCAUUUCUGAUCAAUGAAUGUAAUGCAAGCGCUUGUGCAUUGAUGGGAUCACUUAUCUCUUAUCAUAGACGCACGAAGAUGCGAUAAGGAAAGCGAGGUAAAGUGAUCGAGACGAGGGGAAAGGUUAUCUCUUUGUAACGAAGGCAAAAGAAAUGUGAAGGUGAUAUCGAUUAAUUUGCAGUUAAUCGGCCGUGAGAUUGCUACAUCAACAGAUAGAGAGUCCAGAUCACUUGCGCGCGUGCUGGGUCAUCGCAAGCUAUGUAAUUUUGUUUUAAUGGGGAAUUUAGCAAUAUGAGCCAUGAACAGAUACGAAAUACAUGAAAUCUAAAGCUUUUUACUCGCGUUUUAUCUAAAAUAAAAUUUAGAUUUAUUCAAAGCAUCCGACAAGCGAUAGAAGUAUAAAUUUCAGAGGAAAAUCAACCUUUUACCUCAUGUCGGUGCAAAAUACCGACGUCAAACUAUGUAAAAAUUCGAUACACACGCCGGAAUAGAAUAAGCUACGCAAAUGCCGUUACACAUCCGGUAGUUACACUACGGCUGCGCAAUUUAAACAUUAAAAUGGGUUGAAUCGAAUUUUGAAUUAAAAUUGGACAGAAAUACUGAUUUAGUUUUGUAAUGGCUUUACAGUUGGUCUGCUUGCAACACAGGUAUUUUGCGAAUGUUAAAAAUUAUUAACUUCAAAAAGGGAUUAUUACAUUACUAAGUCAAUGAAAUCUGACUGGCAAUGUUGCAGAUAAUAUAUCUCAAAUUUUUCUCAAAUCUCUUUAUAUUUAUGAUAUAUACGAUAACGUGCGCGCAAUAUAAAAUUAACCCGUUCAACAUUCCUUUUUCAUAAGAACAUACCUGAAAGGAAUUAAAUGUCACACAGAUCUCGGAGGUCGCAGCGUGAUUAACCCGCAUUUACCACGGCGCAGUAAGCAACGCCAAAACGCCCGUCACAAUCACGGAGCUGUUAUAGGAAAUUAUAUCGAAUAUCCAAUUUACGGCUGAUGCCCAUUUUAUGGUCGAGUUCGAACCUCAUAUCAUUUCCAUUCGCAUAUAACAACGGUGUUUCAUUAUUCCACGAGAGGAACGAGAGUGAUCGAUCGAUUGAAGGGGUAAAAUUCCCAUCUUGUGUAUUUACCUUUUACUACAUCCGACUGACUUUUCGACGGGUACGGAGUUAAUCUUGUACGAACGAGAGUCUCUCUCUCUCUCUCUCUCUUGCUCUCUCUUCUCUUUCCUCCGUCCCUCCCUUCGUACCUCUCGUCCUUUCUCUCUUUCUCUCUCUUGUAUACGGACGAUCGCGUGAUCGAAAUUGAAACGAACGGCGAGAGGUCGCACGCUAUCGAGAGGGCUCUCUGUGUGGAGCCCAGGCGGACCUUCGCCAUCCCCACGGGCUUUUCGUUCGCGGGCCAACUGUCCAUUCCCAGCCGUUAAUCCCGACGGAGGGUUUCCGGUCGAAGGGUACGCGCUCGGGCAACGCACAGUGGCGCAGCUCGCUCGUCCAAAGGGAGAGAGAAGUGUACGGGGUGUCGCAGGUAUCGCGCACUAUCUCUCCAUUACGGAUACUUGAGGCAAAACUCGGGAGAAUGUAACUUGCUUCCACGUGCGGCAGCAUGAAGCAGCGAAUCGUAGCAAUUUAAUUUCGGGAUACGAACAGGUGAAGCGUAGAUCUUCGCUCGAUUCUUUCGACAGGUUUCCGCUUCCGCGGAAAUAUUUUGAUUCUAGACUUGGUUACAAAAAUAUUGAAUGUUGAAAAAAAUUUGGCAGAGCCAAAUUUCAAUUUGCUCAAGAACUAGCAAAAGAAAUGUGUGAUUAGCGACAUAAUUCUAUGAUUCUUUUUUAUAGAACAUAUAUUCUCCGAAUUGUAUUUGAUUUUACAACACCGUUACAUUACGUAUCAUAUUGUUAAUUUAUUAUACGAUUAAAUCGAAGUGAAUAAUAUAAAGUACUUUAUUCAGAGACACUAAUAAUAUAAAGUAAUUUAUUCAGAGAGAGAAAGAGAGUGAGUCAUGUCUUCUUUAGAUUAUUCAGGAUUAUUAUCAUACGCGAACUAAAUAAUGUUUCGUUUUUUGCAGAUUACAUGUAUUUCGCCGCGGUACUGCGUUCUGCGCAUGAAAACAAAAAAGUAAUGCGAAUCCAAGCAUUGAGCUCUGAGAAUCAUGUGACUGAUGAAACGAACGUCGAGCUCUCGUUGAUGCCUCUUCACCCGCCUCUUCGACAUCGCCUCCGAUUUCACGUCCAUCAGGGCCACGUAAUAUCGCCCGCUAAAUCCCGUUAAAUCCGAGAAGCCAGCACUAGCAGGUACACGUGAGCGAGCGAGCGACUGUGCAAACCUCGGACCCUUAGAACGAAAUUAGAGAAUCCUACGCCGUUGCUGAAAACGACGACGACUCGCGCCGAUCUCGGAGCGCGCAAAUCCGAUUUCACCCUGCCGGACUAUUCGAUUCCAAUUAACAUAAUAAUGCCGAAAACUAGAAAUCCGCACCCUCGCCUACGGCUCGCGACUGCACAAAUUGCGGAAUAAUUAGGAAAUGUUCGAAACGAGCGAACCCGAUACGCGCGGGGGAGAUUCACGGGGAGAAUUGAUUUCUCUCGAAUUUUGAUGUUCCCCGAGGGUGACUAUCGAUAGAGAUGAUGAUCAAUAAUAGAAAUGCUUGAUCCUUGAAGAUGCAGCAUAAUUGAGAAUAAUUUGCAGCACACCCUUCAAAUCAGGAUCACAUAGUAUGUAUACUAGAUAUACUGCUCGAUCGUCAGUCUAGAUAAUUAAUUCUACAAAAGAAUAUAAAAUUCAGAUAUAUCGCCUUGAAUAGCUUAUAAGCUUAUAUACAGUAAUUUGUACAAACUGUGAAGUAACACUUGCAACUUUCGUUACAAGUCAAUCAACUACGAUUCUAAUCAUCUAAGAAUCCGAAGCUGAUUUUUCUAUUUUCUCAUAAUCCUAAUUCAAGUUUUAUGAUAAUCAAUAAAAUUUGUCAAUUUUCUUAACUGAUGAUAAUCUAAAAUAGUGUCCUUCGCGAGUCUUUAUUUAUGACACUAUAGCCUAAUUCCUGAAUGGACAUCUUUGUCGAAAGUUUACUGAGUCGUCCAACACGAUAUAUCUCGAUGGCUCACGCGAGAAUCACAUUUCCGUCACUUCAGAGGAAAUAUUCCAUCCAGAUAUUCCCAAGUUUAACCGCGGCUGACGAAAAGAGGACGUGGAGGACGUAAGGAAUAUUCAAUACCUUGCCGACCCGCGUUACGCGUAAACGCGACCCUCGACCUCGCUUCCGUUGUCGACCCUUCGAAUCCCGGGCCGAAUGUCGUCUUCGAUUUAUUAUUUGCCGAACGAUUUGUCAUUUGCGCAUCACCCUCGAGUGGCGCUUUGUGUGCUCUUAGGAUCGAAAUAUCGGGACGGCUUGUCGAAUCGAGAUAUUCCCCUCUCUCCGAUGUGACUUCCUCCCAAGGCGGUGAUUUUCGAGACGCUGAGCCCAGCCAAAGUUGAUUCCACCGGAGGGACGUUUACGUCGGUUGAUGCGAUACGCGACAUGAUGGUGGGCUAAACGAAGCGAGGGCGAAGUGAAAGGCCGACAAUGCGGGAUCAAUGAAGUCAGCGUGAGACGUGGACCGGCAGCAUCGUUUGCACCACGGUGCGGAUAUGCGUCAUGGGACACCAUGCGUCAGUUUUAAUUAGUGCACACCCACGCGCCGACAUCGAUGCCGAGGUAACCAUCAAAUAUCGGGACGUCGGCGCGUUACGGUCGUUAAUAAAAUUCCGCGGGCACCGACCGUCCAUCGACCAUUUGCAGAGACGUAAAGUCGAAUCAUCGUUGCCUGCGAGCACUCACGUGUGCGAUUAUUCACGUUCGAUGGGAUUCCAAAGAUCAUAAGACACGCGUUUUGUCACUACAGGAUGUUUUAUAAACUAUCAUCAUGGUCUCGUAAAGCAGAUUUCUUUGCUAAUCUGAAGUUGAUUUUCUAAUUCGAUCGAGAAUGUUUGUACGAUUGCAAUAUUAGACUUAUCUGUAAAUUUAUCUGUUCGCAUCCCUGAUGAAAUAUAAUCAACACUCUGUAGCAAAAUAAAGAUCAUUUGUGAGAAGCAAGUUUAAUGAAAAAUAAUUUCAAUCUUAAAUCUUCUAAAAACUAUCUUGGAAUUCAGUUUUCUUUGUAAUAAUAAUAAUAAUAGUUAGGUUAUUGUAAAACUUUGAAUCAUUUUUAAUUUGAAUACUUCGUUGAACGCAAAAUAUUUUUCUUUGUUCGGUUUUCAACACCUGCAUUCAAUGGAAAUCAUUCCGAGUAACUCUAUAUAACAUUAGGAGCAUGUGAAGGCACACUUUCGUUUUAUGAUGAAACCAAAUCGAGAUUAAUGCCGACUGAGUUGCUCGCUCUCCGUAUUAAAAUACCGUAUUUUACAACGUGGCAACUACAUACACUGUACACAUUAAGGCGGGAAGUGAACGGCUAUGUUAAUUGGUCAUGAAAUGACACUGAAAUUAAAUUCGUCGCGUUUCGCGAAAUACCAUAUUAUGAUUUAUGAUAAUUCAAAUAUGUAUGUAGAGCAAUAUUACAAAGCGUAGUCUGAAAUAUUUAACAAAGCGGCAUUACAUAUAGAUGAACAUAAUGUUUUCGGCUAUUGUCUAAAAUUAAUUCAUCAUUCUGAACGCGCUCUAUCCGAGGCAGGUGCAUACAGAUCCGCAACUGCCAUUCAAAUAAUCAACGCUGUGCUUCGACGCAGGUGCACGAAGACGGGCUUGAUGCUGCAAUUUCCAAAAAUUAAGUCGAGAAUGUUCGAGGUGCUCGUUUAUAUUUUUCUUGUGACAAUACGUGGGAGCUGGUGCAUUUUUCUCAAGAGAAUCAUCGUUAAAAGGCAAAGCGGCCUCUGAAUUUUUCGACUAUCAAUUUUCCGCGAACAAUAACGACUCGCUGCUCUCGCAAGCAACAUUAUGCGACAAGGUAUCAUCGAGAGAGGGAGACCGUACAUUAUUAAAUACGGAAUAUCGUGGCAGAUCGCUGACGGUUGUUGAUGCUCGCUUGAGAUACUUGCAUACGCUAUUGCGAGCCUAUUUUAAUUAUCAUCAAGCGCUGCAGGCCGUUCCGAUAAGCAUUUACCCGAGGCAGAAGGCUGCGCACGCGGUUCGAUGCACGCAUCGAUAGCGACGAAAUGCGGGCGGCGCUCUCACCGUAUGCGGGUUCUCUAUGCAUUUAGUACGCUAUUCUAUGAAGCUGUGGCGAUGCGUGAAGUUUGACCCACGGCACGCACGUGCAUGCUUCACGAAGAAAGGCCUGACGCAACGGCGGUGAAGCUUCGCAACGAAACGAUAGUUUAACGGCGCGGGUGAAUGGUAACGGCGAUAUAGCGAUAUAUCGAUCAAGGUUCGAUCGGAUUUUAAAUUAGCAGUUCGUGAGUCAUUCUCAGUUGCUUUUGAAUUACUCCAUCUUUCAAUAGUCAAUUUAUAACUCCAUCUCGUAUGUCAAAAUAUAAUAAUCUAAAGCAGAUCUUCGUCAGACAUUAAUAGCAACGAUGAUCAAGAUUUACGACAAUAUAUGAAUUCUGCGAGUAAUGAGGAUUCGACCAAUUUGGAACGAGCUAUCGCGCGAUUUAGCUGGAUACGACUUUCGGUAUCGCGCAGGCCACAUUUGAAUCGCGCUUGGCGCAAUGCCAGAUUGUACAGGUGUAACGCGUGUGAACGAAAGAGAGACACUUCCGCGACAUGAACGCACAAUAAUUACUGUCACAGGGACGAAGCGCGUUCCGCAGCAGCGAAGCUACAUCCGUGAUUUCAUUACAUUGCAUUUCCCUUGCACAGCUGUUUCUUCCGCCGCGCCGUAGAGUUUCAUCCCUUCGUAGACCGGAUUGAUGUGCAGUUUCGUCGACUGGAUGUAUUACCGAUCGUCGUCGUGUAUCUGUCAAUCGAACCGCUCGAUGCAACCACCUCGCAUCGACAUUCGCAUCAAUGAACGUGACGACUCUCGUUCAUCAAUCUAGUCGUACGCUUUUUUAUAUUCCGGAUUACGGUGUUGCAUCGCUGCGAACAUUUCCCGAAUAUUAUUACAACAGUUGGCGAGCUAAAGUUUAAUGAUCCUUUCGCUUUCAAUAACGCCAGCGAGAUCUAAUGCACGUUGAUUUCGAUGUGAAAGCUCAUACCUAAUAAUUCCAGAGAAUCAUCUGAUCGAGCACUACUAACCAACCUCUCAACUCCAACCGCAUCAAUGCGCGGCCGCAGUAAAGCACAAUAUCAGACACGAAGACAGACAGCAAGCAAGCCCCGCAGCCAGCAUUCAGUUCUCGUGCGAGUUAAUGACGUGGCGUCAUUACACGUAUAAAAGAUGAAUACGGCUAGACGGAGCACUUUCAACACGCGACGUCGACGUCACGACGAUUCUACUCGAAAAUACAGUUGUGCCAAUGGAGCCGCGCACUACCACACUUACGCAAAUUAUUUUUCAUUCGUCUGAUGUGUUACCUGAACCUGCCUCGCUAACUGAAUGACAAAUUUAGUAAUGUAUACGCGGAAUGAUUAAAUUACUUUUCAAUGUUUGAGUAUCGCGAUUGAAAUUAGAAAAACUGACAAAUCCUUGUAGUAAAAAGUCCAAAUAAUCAUAUAUAGAAUAAUGUAAUAUAAUAAAUAUAAAUCCGAGAUCCGGCUUCAACCUCGAAA